GUGAGGAAUAUUGCGCAAUGGAGGCAACUCUGACGCAGCCAUGCCGCGUGCAGGAAGAAGGCGCUACGCGUUGUAAACUGCUUUUAACCGGGAAGAAACCCCAGGACGUGUCCUGGGUUGACGGUACCGGAGGAAUAAGCACCGGCUAACUUCGUGCCAGCAGCCGCGGUAAUACGAAGGGUGCAAGCGUUAUCCGGAUUCAUUGGUUUUAAAGGGUGCGUAGGCGGAGCGUUAAGUCAGUGGUGAAAUCCUGCAGCUUAACUGUAGACUUGCCAUGGAUACUGGCGUUUUGGAGGGCGUUGGAAGUGGGCGGAAUGUGCCGUGUAGCGGUGAAAUGCUUAGAUAUGGCACAGAACACCAAUGGCGAAGGCAGCUAACUAAGGCGAUACUGACGCUGAGGCACGAAAGCGUGGGGAUCGAACAGGAUUAGAUACCCCUGUAGUCC
rnacentral:rRNA from 1 species